rnacentral:rRNA from 1 species
UGCGCAGGCGGGCUUGUAAGUCAGUGGUGAAAUACUGCCGCUCAACGGUAGAACUGCCAUUGAUACUGCAAGCCUUGAGUAUGGUUGAGGUAGGCGGAAUGUGUCGUGUAGCGGUGAAAUGCAUAGAUAUGACACAGAACGCCGAUUGCGAAGGCAGCUUACUAAGCCAUUACUGACGCUGAGGCACGAAAGCGUGGGGAGCGAACAGGAUUAGAUACCCUGGUAGUCC